GAUGAACGCUAGCGGCAGGCUUAAUACAUGCAAGUCAAGGGGGUAGCAAUACAACCGGCGCACGGGUGAGUAACACGUACACAACAUACCAUAUACUGAGGUAUAGCUUCGGGAAACUGAAGGUAAUCCCUCAUAGUAUUGUGAAAGGGCAUCUUUUUACAAUUAAAGUUUCGACGGUAUAUGAUUGGUGUGCGUUUGAUUAGCUAGUUGGUAGGGUAACGGCCUACCAAGGCAACGAUCAAUAGCUGGCGUGAGAGCGCGACCAGCCACACUGGAACUGAGACACGGUCCAGACUCCUACGGGAGGCAGCAGUAGGGAAUCUUAG
rnacentral:rRNA from 1 species